GGGAGGAAAGCAUGGGAGGCGUUGGGUGAGGGCGUAUCAGUAUCAGUGUACGUGUGUGCGUCUGUGUGGGGAUGUGUAUCCUGUGUUCAGCCUGAGAGAGUGUCCUUUCGACUAUUAGGUGAAAAUCAACAGUCCGCAGCCUACGCAGGUGGCCUUGUGGAAUAGGGCAAGAGAGUCAGUUCGUUCUUGGUAUUGUAUCUCUGGGAAGAAUUGUUGUUGUUCUCCUCGGCAUCAACCUUCAAGCAUUGUCCAGCUGGCGCCGUCGGGGUGGGGGUGUUGUAAAUGUUGUUUUGGGAUGAACAAACUGUAUCAAUUUUACAGUUGUUCUUAAUGUCCAUCACUGGUCUCCUGUUGUAUCAUCUGUUUUAGAACCGUGAGCUCCUCCAAGAUCUUUCCCAUAUUGCGUUCAGUAAGAACAGUCUGAGUACUCACAGCUCUUCCCACAUUUUCGAUAAUAGCGGCCAGCCUUGUGGGGUUUUGAAAGGCAUUCACCGCUUUCUUCAAUUUCCGAUAAGCCAGGGCCAAGCCAGCUCCGAUCAGCAAGAACCCCGUUAUCAUGGUUCCGAACAGGUAGAUGUCUUCAAUGUCCUCAAUAGACAGUCCAACCAGGCACACGACGUGCCACUUCUGCCACUCGUCCAUCGAUUAUCCAGCAGGGAACGUCCCUCCAGGACACUUGGGCUCUCCCGAACCCAGGCUUCUCGUCGAAAAUAGAGUGCCAAUUGCAUUGACAAAUAUCCAGUUAUAAGAACAAGUGACACAAGCAAAUGUCAUAGUUUGGUUACUAACUGGACAACUAGAGGAAGGACAGAAAGGCUAUUAACUAUUAACUGAAACAAACAGCCAAAAAAAAGGCUGUGGCACCCUCCAGCCUUAGAAUAACCCACACUUGAUUGUUCUAUUCAGCUGUCGGAAGCAUGGAAAAACAUGGAAAAAAUAAAAAAGACUCCCCUCACUGGUGAAUCACCAGCACAAAGCAAAACUAACAAUUUCAUCUGAAACUUAAAAGUUAAACAGGGAGGACAGCCAAAAAAACAAAAAACAACAACAAAAAAACCCCCCCCACAGGCCACAAAUCCAACCCAGCAGUACCAUUACAACAUCUUCCCUUCGCCUCCAGGCAGCUGUAGACAGUUUUUCAGUGGAAGAACAUGAAAUGUAGUAUUAAUUUUGGCAGCAGGUAGUUUUAAAAGAAAAGCUUUUGCAUUGAUGAUUUUCUUCGUUCCGAAGGGUCCAGUAUACCUGGGUGAAAGUUCUUAGUGACACAAAAAAUGAGUGACGAAAAUCUUCUGAAAACAGAGACAACUGUUACUUCAACAGAAGAAUACAAAUCUACAGUGAAGAUAACGCUGUUGCCUUGUGAUCAAAGUAAGCAGGAGACAAGGUCUGAAGUUAUGUGAGUCAGCAAGGACUGUAACUAACCUGAGGUUAUCCGAACAACACCACCCAUGGAACAGAGUCCAAUCAGUGAUACUUCUCCAACAUCCACCUAUAGCUUUGUGAGACCUCACUCUGGACCCAACAGAUCCACUGAGGCCAGAAGCAAAGCUUUGCCCGAGAGCUUGUAUGCCCAGGUAGAAAUUCAUCCCAGAUCCUAAAAUCUCUUCAGAAAGCUUGAAACCUGGAUCCCCCGUAGCCGGUUACCAAGAUUACGUGAAGUACCCUCAGAAGGUCUACUCGAUGAUGUUAAUGCAGCACUAUGGAUGAUACCUACAGCCACGCUUACCGAGACUAACAAGCUGAUCUACAAUACGGCAGCAGUGAUCAGUGAGAUGCUUGUGAGACUGCUUUGAACAGCACACGAAGGACCUUCAUCUGGUGGUUCUUCUUCUCCUUUAGUUUGCACCGAAACACUUUCCCUCUGCUUGGAGUGGAUAUAUAAGAUUGUGGGGUGUUUCUGAUUACAGACCUUACGUUUCUAUGGAGAACCACAAGAGUCACACGCAUCGAAAUAAAGAAUUCUGUGCUUAAAUAUUGAAUUGUAGAAUGAAUUCUGCAUUUGUAAAUUCAUUUUUUGAAUUCCAGUUUAAUAAACUGAUUUUCAAAAUGCUUUUUAAAAACUUCAUUUCAAAAACGUUUUUUGAAUUUCAAUUUAAUAAAG
ensembl:lncRNA